rnacentral:rRNA from 1 species
GAUGAACGCUAGCUACAGGCUUAACACAUGCAAGUCGAGGGGCAGCAUGUUGUGUGCUUGCACACAAUGAUGGCGACCGGCGCACGGGUGAGUAACGCGUAUCCAACCUGGCCCUCAGUAGGGAAUAGCCCGGCGAAAGUCGGAUUAAUGCCCUAUGUUCUCCUUUGCGGGCAUCUAAUGAGGAGUAAAGAUUUAUCGCUGUGGGAUGGGGAUGCGUCUGAUUAGCUUGUCGGCGGGGUAACGGCCCACCGAGGCGACGAUCAGUAGGGGUUCUGAGAGGAAGGUCCCCCACAUUGGUACUGAGACACGGACCAAACUCC